UCUUCUACGAUGGCUGCCUGUGUGCCAGGUAGGGCUGGACAGAGGCACGUUUCUUCUGUCCAAUCUGUGGUUCACUGGAAACACCAUCACUAUUGAGGGUGAUUUCUCAUGCUUCAAAGAGCAGCAGUCAGGUCCUUCAGGGAACAGUUGGCUUUGAAAAGUAUUAUUUUUGGGAUUACAGAGCUGUGUGAUGGUUUAGUGACUAGUGGUUAUCGAAGUGAAUAUGUCAGUCUAGCGGAUGGACUUUCCUCAGGUGGCACACAAUCCAGGAAGAAACAGGGCUCAAACACACACUGUAUUCUCCCUGCUGACACCGGUGCCUCACCAUCCUGCACUCUUCCCACACCUGGAAUGCUUUGCGACCUCGGAGUCCCUGGAGUCACUGGCACCACAGCCUCUCCCUGGUCCUUACUCCAGCCUGUCUGCACUGGCCUGAUACCCACCCCUUCUGGUCUCCCUGCCUGCAGGCUCCUCCCUGCACCCCACAGGACAUCCCUUUGGGAGCCUGUGUGUGCAGAAGACUAUGCUGAGUACUGAUGGGGGUAAAAGAUGGGAAUCCAGCUCAUUGUAACCGCGGAUACCGUAAGCCAGCACCCCGCGGAGGGCUGUCCAUGUAGUGGCCCCUAAACUGUGACUCUGAGACAGAUGGCAGUGCAGGGCCCAGGACCGAGGACAGAGACACCCUUGAAGACGACCUCCUCCGAAUUGGGUUCACUGUGACAGUCUGGGUUUGCCUGUAAAAAUAAGACAUGUCACUGAGACAUACGUACACAUAGUUUUCCUAAUUUUGCCAAAGUAAAUCAAUAAGAAGGUAAAAUGAUAAAUCUGCUAAAGUAAAAAGAAGAUAAAACUAACCCAAUCAUAAAUUAGAGAAAAGGAAGGAGACUCUCUUGUCCUCACUUGGGGCCUCCCCACUUUGUGGCUACCCAGAAACCCCCCUCACCCCCCCUCCAGGGUUUGAGCCUCCUGAUGCAGCAACAUCUGCCUGGACAAUGAGAGGAUCAGCAGGCUGAAGAUCUAUCUAAACACGAGACCAAUAAGAGAAAUUACAAAGAAAAAAAAAAACGAGUGCUCAUCAGGAACUUAACAUCAGGUUGUUGCUAAAGAAGAAGUGUCUCUUUUCCAAAGAAUAUUCCAUCUGCCAGAAUUUAUGUAACUCAACAACGACACAACCGAUGUGAAUUCUGUCGGGCUGCAAGAAUACCUGUUAACAACCACCAAAGCAUUAUCGGUCCUAAUUGAGGCCUCCUCGGGGAAACAAGGUGGGAAGG